UCAUAAAUUUAUCCUAGGAAGAGUUCAUG
rnacentral:piRNA from 1 species